rnacentral:lncRNA from 1 species
AAAAGGGAAGUGUGGAAAUAUUAAUGGUCAGCGAACGUAUGGAAGUAAAUUAAAUGCCCAACAUGAAGAGACUAGUUGACGAAAUUAUCCACGUGCUUCUUAAAUGGGACUAUGGUUACAGAAGCACGUACUGCGUAUAUGUGCAAUUUAUUUUUUUCUAAAAGCCUCCCUUUCUGGCAGUGGAAUUGCCAAAAGAGAGCCAAGCAAUUAGAUAAAGGCACCAUUCCCCACCCCUUUCAAGCUAGUCAGUGGGUCUCAGGCCCUGUUUCAGACACACUUCCUAGAGGCUGCUGGCCUGGGCACAAACUGAAACAAAGAUUUUAUGGCCUUUUAAAAAUGUGGUUUUUACUGACACGGAAAAAUGACUAUGAUGUCCUAAAUGAAAAGAGGCUCUCCAAUAAUUAUAGCACUGUCCAAAUCAUUACCUAAAGACAUGAAAGGAGGUCAUAAAAAUGUUUCAAUGAUAGACAAUUAAAAUGUAUAAUUAAAAAUAAAUUAUUACAAAAUAUCAUAA